ACAAUGUAGUUGAUAAAAGAAUUCAGUGAUUCUGAAUCAGUCCUGAUAUAAAUGGAUCAAAGUAAAACAAAACCCUCGACGAGAACCAAUUUUGAGUACAACGAGGAGAAAAAAACGUACACGCAUUUGUGGUACUGUGAAAACGGGUAAAACGACUGGAGAUUGCCGAGCAACUGCCGCCAUCGGUGCUAUUGAAGGCUCUAAAAUGUUACUCUGAUGACUUAACUGGAAACUCUAAAACCAGUUCCCAAUAACCUUUUGCGGUGAGUCGAGCGACGCGACAAAGCAGAGAAAAACGCGCGGCUGCGUCGGAUAAAGCACAGAGGCCGGGUAUUUAUUGCCGCAUGAAACGUAAUACGGGAUGCAUUAUUAAGAUUGCGCCGACGCAGAAAUGAAAUAUUCAGUUCCGUCGAUGUGAUCCUUCUGAUUCUGUUUGUUGCGAGCCUGCGAGCAGAUUUAUCAUCAUCCUUCGUGGAUUACGUAAAAAAUUGCUUGACUACCUUACUUUCAUAAAGAAGAAUUUAAAUUAUUAAGAUUUCUCGUAUCAUUUUUAAACUUUCGAUGUCAUUUAAAUUUGAAUCCUGCUGCGUGCCUUGAAUUUUUGAAUUUCACUCUUGCUUUCAUUUUAGUAAACGAGAAAGAUUCGUGCUAUUUUAAGAAAAUAUUUAAAAUAAUAACUAAACUGGAUAUAAUUUAAGAUAACCAUAAUAAUAAGUUUUCUAUAUUCUGUUGACAAAUUUGCGAGAUAUUUUUCAAUGUUAAAGAAAUACAAACUGGCUCGAAAAUAGUAGAAAAAACGCAGCGGAAUUAAUUGAGCGUAAGUAAUACAUGCAAGGUGAGUUCAUUCCUUUUGUAACUAUUAAAGCGGUUCUGAGAAAUCAGCUGUUUCUACUAGCUCCUUAAUUUGUAUUUUUAUUAUCAGAAGAAACGUUGAAAAUGAGAAAAUGAGUCAAGUGUUUGCAUUUGCACGCUUGCACUUCGCUUAGAAAGUGACGGUUGCGCUGUUUUGUUGUCUUUUAGUGUUCUUCGCGAUAGUUGAUUCAAGACCAGCAAGAGAAACACUAGAAGGAAUUUGUAGCGUUAAAAAGUUAAAGUGGAACGUUCCGAAGAAAUUGUGUUGCAGUAGUUCUGUGUGGAAGUACUAUGUAUUAAAAAUGAUGUAUUUGAUAUAAAAGCUGAGUAAUACAAAUAGCGCCGACUAUUUAUAACUAAUGGGAAAUGGUUAGGAUCGAUAAAAUAAUCGAUAUAAAAAUGAACGUUUAAGUACCUGAAUCGAUGAGCGGUUCUACACAAUUUCUGAAGUCGUUAAGAGCCACGUAAUUAUUUCCACCCAAGGAAUGUGUAAAAAUGAUACACAUGUUACAUAUAUUAAAUGAUAUACAUAUCUGGUGAUGAUUCACAUAAUAGUAUUUAAGGUAGCGAAAUUUAUGGCCACAGCAGGAUCAUCAUUAUACACCACCUAACAGGACGAUUCGUUCAAGUGGAACAACAUUGUAGCCAAUCUCUCGUAGCAUGCAAGUUACCCCGUACAGAGAAGGUUGAAGGUCAGCCUUUCAAAGAAAAGUAAAUUGCACGACAGUGUCGUUUUCUAAAGCUACAGAAAUGCCAGUGCUUUCAAUACUUUGCAUAGGUCAAGGAUCGUGUCCCAUGUAAAACAUUUAGAUUCCGCUGUUUCGAGCUACAAUCUGCAUUUUUAAUUGUUCUUACGUCGUUUAUAUCCUUUCCUCUACGUUUCUCUAAAUUUUUUAUUAUUCCUCCUAUGCGAACUUCGAAUAUCACAGCAACAGUACAAGUGCAUACAAGUAAUAACAUUAUUGGCUUGGUUCCAUAUGAAACAGUAAGAAUAGCGAUUCAUCGUCUGUUUUACGAUCUUAGAGUUUCUAUUCCGCAGAACUAGAUAGACGAAAAAACGCAGGCGAAAAGAUAAAAUUUGAUAAUAUUAAGCAACAAAUAAUGCGACAGAUUAUUGGAAACGAACGACUGUGCCGAUAUUACGUUCAUAUUUGUGAAUUCGUGAAAUAGAAUUCAAGGUUGUUAGAGCGAGCAAAAGUAUGAAAUAUUAGUAACGCAACUUUACAAUUACAUUAAUUUACGCAAAUACAUCGCUUACAAGCACCUGAACACGCCUCUACCAUAUUCAAAACAAUGAAUUUGCAAAAGUGGCUACGUAAUACUGCAACAAUAGAUUACGACAUGCAAAGUCUUUAUCUUAACGAAAUCGACCUUGUGCAAGAAUUAGCGCGAAAGAACGAACAACCUGGCAUAUUUCGCGCGGACACGAGCAUCUGCAUGAAACACCGAACAUUGUAAAAUUCCAUCAAAGUCACUCGGUUACAUCCAGAGUAACGGAAAAUAUCAAGAACGUGAUUAAUAAGCUAGCGUGCACGUUUCGGUGAAGAGUCUGGCACCGGGUCAAGUAUACACGCGAGGCCGUUGAGAGAAAGGGAGAAAGAGGGAAGAAGAUUCCGCGAUGCAAAGUCAUAGGUUAAGCAUUGUGGUGUGUACACACGGUAGAAACACAACUACCACGAGCGCAAGGGUGAAAGUUUACCCUGACAGUCGAUUCUCUCUCGCACGUGGUCAUGCGAUUCACCAUAAGCGUCGAUAUAACUUUCCGAGGAUGCGCCUUCGGGCUAGUUUCUAUGCGGGAUGCAGCUGUUUCUACGCGUCCAGCUCAUUGAAUCGCUGGCCCGAUGCUUUCUAAAUAAACAGCAAACAUCGAAGGCAGAAUAACUUCGAAAACUAUGCAUUAUACAUAUACGAUUUUGUAAUUUUUUAUAGCUUAAAUAUAUUUAUAACUUAAAUCUGUUAAUGGCCAGAUUAAUUCUAUAACACUGAACUGCUCUUUCUUGUUGUAAUAUCUAUUUUUAUAGUCUUGUAAUAAGCGAACGUGUAACUAUAACAUAUGAGAAAUCCUUAAUAGCUAAAAGUAUAGUUUAUUAGAUUUAGUAAAAAACAUUUGGAAAAAGCGGGAGAUUAAUUUUAUUCCGUCAGUCUUGAUGAAAUCCAAUGUUACAUUCGGACGAAUACCCAUUUUGAAGUACAAACUAACAGGUUCUGACUCGGCUAGUAUCUAAUUACUCACUUUGUAACUAAUGGCUAAGGUCAUCUUUAUCCCACCAAAUACUAAUUCCACGUUUAAAAAUCUCACUCGAAAUAGAGAGGAUUUAUCUUAACAGCGUCUAUUGCGUAUUAUGUGUUAUAUUCUGUACUCUUAAACUUCUUACUGUUAUAAGUAAACCGACGCAUUUAAGAAUAACAUCUAUACAAACAAGAUAGUAUUUAUCGCUUAAA